rnacentral:rRNA from 1 species
CUAACAAGGAUUCCCCUAGUAACUGCGAGUGAAGAGGGAAAAGCUCAAAUUUAAAAUCUGGCGGUCCUUGCGGCUGUCCGAAUUGUAAUUUAGAGAAGCGUCACCCGCGCUGGACCGUGUACAAGUCUCCUCGAACGGAGCAUCAUAGAGGGUGAGAAUCCCGUACAUGACACGGACUACCGGGGCUUUGUGGUGCGCUCUCGACGAGUCGAGUUGUUUGGGAAUGCAGCUCUAAAUGGGUGGUAAAUUCCAUCUAAAGCUAAAUACAGGCGAGAGACCGAUAGCGAACAAGUACCGUGAGGGAAAGAUGAAAAGAACUUUGGAAAGAGAGUUAAACAGUACGUGAAAUUGUUGAAAGGGAAACGCUUGAAGUCAGUCGCGUCCUUCAGAGAUCAACCUGGCCUUUCGCUUGGUGCACUCUUUGGAGGACGGGUCAGCAUCAAUUUUGACCGGGGGAAAAAGUUGGUGGGAAUGUGGCACUUUCGGGUGUGUUAUAGCCUGCUUGCAUAUACCUCGGUUGGGAUUGAGGAACUCAGCACGCCGCAAGGCCGGACUUUUGUCACGU